AUGUUAUUAACAAAUGCUGUACUCCACAAUGAUAGGAAGAGGAGAGGUACAGGUAACAGCAGAGGGAACAGGAGAAGGAACAGCAGAGGGAACAGGAGAGGGAACAGGAGAGGGAACAGGAGAGGGAACAGGAGAGGGAACAGGAGAAGGAACAGGAGAGGGAACAGGAGAGGGAACAGGAGAGGGAACAGGAGAAGGAACAGGAGAGGGAACAGCAGAGGGAACAGGAGAAGGAACAGGAGAGGGAACAGGAGAGGGAACAGGAGAGGGAACAGGAGAGGGAACAGGGAACAGGAGAAGGAACAGGAGAGGGAACAGGAGAGGGAACAGGAGAGGGAACAGGAGAGGGAACAGGAGAGGGAACAGCAGAGGGAACAGGAGAAGGAACAGGAGAGGGAACAGGAGAGGGAACAGGAGAAGGAACAGGAGAAGGAACAGGAGAGGGAACAGGAGAAGGAACAGGAGAGGGAACAGGAGAGGGAACAGGAGAAGGAACAGGAGAAGGAACAGGGAAGGAACAGCAGAGGGAACAGGAGAAGGAACAGGAGAGGGAACAGGAGAGGGAACAGGAGAGGGAACAGGGAACAGGAGAGGGAACAGGGGAGAGAACAGGAGAAGGAACAGGAGAGGGAACAGGAGAGGGAACAGGGAACAGGAGAGGGAACAGGAGAGGGAACAGGAGAGGGAACAGGAGAGGGAACAGGGAACAUGAGAGGGAACAGGAGAAGGAACAGGGGAGAGAACAGGAGAAGGAACAGGAGAAGGAACAGGAGAGGGAACAGGGAACAGGAGAAGAAACAGCAAAGGGAACAGGAGAGGGAACAGGAGAGGGAACAGGAGAAGGAACAGCAGAGGGAACAGGAGAGGGAACAGGAGAAGGAACAGGAGAGGGAACAGGAGAAGGAACAGGAGAAGGAACAGGAGAGGGAACAGGGAACAGGAGAAGAAACAGCAGAGGGAACAGGAGAGGGAACAGGAGAAGGAACAGGAGAGGGAACAGGAGAGGGAACAGCAGAGGGAACAGGAGAAGGAACAGGAGAGGGAACAGGAGAGGGAACAGCAGAGGGAACAGGAGAAGGAACAGGAGAGGGAACAGGAGAAGGAACAGGAGAGAGAACAGGGAACAGGAGAAGAAACAGCAGAGGGAACAGGAGAGGGAACAGCAGAGGGAACAGGAGAAGGAACAGGAGAAGAAACAGCAGAGGGAACAGGAGAGGGAACAGGGAACAGGAGAGGAAACAGCAAAGGGAACAGGAGAGGGAACAGGAGAGGGAACAGGAGAGGGAACAGCAGAGGGAACAGGAGAGGGAACAGGAGAGGGAACAGGAGAGGGAACAGGAGAGGAACAGGAGAGGGAACAGGAGAGGGAACAGGAGAAGGAACAGGAGAGGGAACAGGAGAGGGAACAGGAGAAGGAACAGGAGAGGGAACAGGAGAGGGAACAGGGAACAGGAGAGGGAACAGGAGAGGGAACAGCAGAGGGAACAGGAGAAGGAACAGGAGAGGGAACAGGAGAAGGAACAGGAGAGGGAACAGGAGAGGGAACAGGAGAGGGAACAGGAGAGGGAACAGGAGAGGGAACAGGAGAGGGAACAGGAGAGGGAACAGGAGAGGGAACAGGAGAGGGAACAGGGAACAGGAGAGGGAACAGGAGAGGGAACAGGGGAGAGAACAGGAGAAGGAACAGGAGAGGGAACAGGGAACAGGAGAGGGAACAGGAGAGGGAACAGGAGAGGGAACAGGGAACAGGAGAGGGAACAGGAGAGGGAACAGGAGAGGGAACAGGGAACAUGA
rnacentral:lncRNA from 8 species